GAUGAACGCUGGCGGCGUGCCUAAUACAUGCAAGUCGAGCGAACGGACGAGAAGCUUGCUUUUCUGAUGUUAGCGGCGGACGGGUGAGUAACACGUGGAUAACCUACCUAUAAGACUGGGAUAACUUCGGGAAACCGGAGCUAAUACCGGAUAAUAUUUUGAACCGCAUGGUUCAAAAGUGAAAGACGGUCUUGCUGUCACUUAUAGAUGGAUCCGCGCUGCAUUAGCUAGUUGGUAAGGUAACGGCUUACCAAGGCAACGAUGCUUAGCCGACCUGAGAGGGUGAUCGGCCACACUGGAACUGAGACACGGUCCAGACUCCUACGGGAGGCAGCAGUAGGGAAUCUUCCGCAAUGGGCGAAACCCUGACGGAGCAACGCCGCGUGAGUGAUGAAGGUCUUCGGAUCGUAAAACUCUGUUAUUAGGGAAGAACAUAUGUGUAAGUAACUGUGCACAUCUUGACGGUACCUAAUCAGAAAGCCACGGCUAACUACGUG
rnacentral:rRNA from 1 species